rnacentral:rRNA from 1 species
CCUACGGGUGGCAGCAGUGAGGAAUAUUGGUCAAUGGGCGGGAGCCUGAACCAGCCAAGUAGCGUGAAGGAUGACGGCCCUCUGGAUUGUAAACUUCUUUUGUCUGGGAAUAAAGGCGUCCACGUGUGGCCCGUUGUGUGUAUCCGAUGAAAAAGCAUCGGCUAACUCGGGGCCAGCAGCCGCGGUGUUACGGAGGAUGCGAGCGUUAUCCGGGUUUAUUGGGUUUAAAGGGGGCGUAGGCGGAUACUAAUGUCAGCGGUAAAAACGUGGGGCUCAACGCGGUAGAGCAGUUGAAACUGGAGGCCUUGAGUGCGCGCAGGGUAGGCGGAAUUCGUGGUGUAGCGGUGAAAUGCUUAGAUAUCACGAAGAACUCCGAUCGCGAAGGCAAGGGACCGGCGCGCUACUGACGCUGAGGCUCGAAAGCGCGGGUAUCAAACAGGAUUAGAUACCCGUGUAGUC